rnacentral:tRNA from 1 species
UAGUUCAAUUGGUAGAGCACCGGUCUCCAAAACCGGGUGUUGGGAGUUCGAGUCUCU